rnacentral:rRNA from 1 species
AGUGAACGCUGGCGGCGUGCUUAACACAUGCAAGUCGAACGAGAACGGGUUAUAGCUUGCUAUAAUUGUCAGCUAAGUGGCGCACGGGUGAGUAAUGUAUAGGUAAUAUGCCUCUUACUAAGGGAUAACAAAUGGAAACGUUUGCUAAUACCUUAUACUCCUUAUUAACAGAAGUUAAUAAGGGAAAGAUUUAUUGGUAAGAGAUUAGCCUGUAUUGUAUCAGUUAGUUGGUGGGGUAAUGGCUUACCAAGACUAUGACACAUAACUGGUUUGAGAGGAUGAUCAGUCACACUGGAACUGAGACACGGUCCAGACUCCUACGGGAGGCAGCAGUGGGGAAUAUUGCACAAUGGACGAAAGUCUGAUGCAGCAACGCCGCGUGGAGGAUGACACAUUUCGGUGCGUAAACUCCUUUUAUAUGAGAAGAUAAUGACGGUAUUAUAUGAAUAAGCACCGGCUAACUCCGUGCCAGCCGCCGCGGUAAAAC